AAAGAUUUAUCGGUUACGGAUGGGCAUGCGCUCCAUUAGAUAGUUGGCAGGGCAACGGCCUACCAAGUCAGCGAUGGAUAGGGGUUCUGAGAGGAAGGUCCCCCACAUUGGUACUGAGACACGGACCAAACUCCUACGGGAGGCAGCAGUGAGGAAUAUUGGUCAAUGGGCGCGAGCCUGAACCAGCCAAAUCGCGUGAAGGAUGAAGGUAUUAUGUAUUGUAAACUUCUUUUGUCAGGGAAUAAAGUGCGGCACGUGUGCCUCAUUGCAAGUACCUGAAGAAUAAGGAUCGGCUAACUCCGUGCCAGCAGCCGCGGUAAUACGGAGGAUCCAAGCGUUAUCCGGAUUUAUUGGGUUUAAAGGGUGCGUAGGCGGGCUGAAAAGUCAGCGGUGAAAGUUCGUGGCUCAACCACGAAAUUGCCGUUGAAACUUUCAGUCUUGAGUGUGGACGAGGCAGAUGGAAUUCGUAGUGUAGCGGUGAAAUGCUUAGAUAUUACGAAGAACUCCGAUUGCGUAGGCAGUUUGCCAGGCCACAACUGACGCUGAGGCACGAAGGUGCGGGUAUCAAACAGGAUUAGAUACCCUGGUAGUCCGCACAGUAAACGAUGAAUACUAACUGUUUGCGAUAUACGGCAAGUGGUAAAGCGAAAGCGUUAAGUAUUCCACCUGGGGAGUACGCCGGCAACGGUGAAACUCAAAGGAAUUGACGG
rnacentral:rRNA from 1 species